GUGACUGCGUACCUUUUGUAUAAUGGGUCAGCGACUUAUAUUCUGUAGCAAGGUUAACCGUAUAGGGGAGCCGAAGGGAAACCGAGUCUUAACUGGGCGUUAAGUUGCAGGGUAUAGACCCGAAACCCGGUGAUCUAGCCAUGGGCAGGUUGAAGGUUGGGUAACACUAACUGGAGGACCGAACCGACUAAUGUUGAAAAAUUAGCGGAUGACCUGUGGCUGGGGGUGAAAGGCCAAUCAAACCGGGAGAUAGCUGGUUCUCCCCGAAAGCUAUUUAGGUAGCGCCUCGUGAACUCAUCUUCGGGGGUAGAGCACUGUUUCGGCUAGGGGGCCAUCCCGGCUUACCAACCCGAUGCAAACUACGAAUACCGAAGAAUGUUAUCACGGGAGACACACGGCGGGUGCUAACGUCCGUCGUGAAGAGGGAAACAACCCAGACCGCCAGCUAAGGUCCCAAAGUCAUGGUUAAGUGGGAAACGAUGUGGGAAGGCACAGACAGCCAGGAUGUUGGCUUAGAAGCAGCCAUCAUUUAAAGAAAGCGUAAUAGCUCACUGGUCGAGUCGGCCUGCGCGGAAGAUGUAACGGGGCUAAACCAUGCACCGAAGCUGCGGCAGCGACGCUUAUGUGUUGUUGGGUAGGGGAGCGUUCUGUAAGCCGUUGAAGGUGUGCUGUGAGGCAUGCUGGAGGUAUCAGAAGUGCGAAU
rnacentral:rRNA from 1 species